rnacentral:rRNA from 1 species
UACGGAGGGGGCAAGCGUUGUUCGGAAUCAUUGGGCGUAAAGAGUAUGUAGGCGGCUAUUUAAGUCAGGCGUGCAAGCCCACGGCUCAACCGUGGAAUUGCGUCUGAAACUAUUUAGCUUGAGUUCAGGAGAGGAAGGCGGAAUUCCCAGUGUAGCGGUGAAAUGCAUUGAUAUUGGGAAGAACACCGGUGGCGAAGGCGGCCUUCUGGUCUGAUACUGACGCUGAGAUACGAAAGCCAGGGGAGCGAACGGG